rnacentral:rRNA from 1 species
AGUGAACGCUGGCGGUAGGCCUAACACAUGCAAGUCGAACGGCAGCACAGGAGAGCUUGCUCUCUGGGUGGCGAGUGGCGGACGUGUGAGGAAUACAUCGGAAUCUACUUUUUCGUGGGGGAUAACGUAGGGAAACUUACGCUAAUACCGCAUACGACCUACGGGUGAAAGCAGGGGAUCUUCGGACCUUGCGCGAUUGAAUGAACCGAUGUCGGAUUAGCUAGUUGGCGGGGUAAAGGCCCACCAAGGCGACGAUCCGUAGCUGGUCUGCGGGGAUGAUCAGCCACACUGGAACUAAGACACGGUCCAGACUCCUACGGGAGGCAGCAGUGGGGAAUAGUGGACAAUGGGCGCAAGCCUGAUCCAGCCAUACCGCGUGGGUGAAGCAGGCCUUCGGGUUGUAAAGCCCCUUUGUUGGGAAAGAAAUCCAGCUGGUUAAUACCCGGUUGGGAUGACGGUACCCAAAGAAUAAGCACCGGCUAACUUCGUGCCAGCCGCCGCAGUAA